GGGCGGGUUCUAAAAUGAAGCUGCCAUUGUCCCUUCAUAGUGGACAAUGACACCAGGUAUGAUGUGUGGUGGCACAGAGCACUGCCAGCCAGGAGGCUCCCCCAGGACUCAGUGUACAUGGACUGCGUUGUGUCUUCAUUACACAGCGGAACAGUGGAGCUGCGGCCACACGAUGGGCACCGUUCCCAGCUCUGCGCCACCCAUGGAGCUUGGGCUGCUCUCAUCUUCAUUAUGCCCCAAACCUCUAGGUACACGGUGCUCUUUCUGGGUGGUCUGGCCACUGCCCUGGGUCACCUCAGGACGGGCACCCCUGAGGGUCAAGGGGAUUCCUCACAAAAGAGUGGCUUAUUAGCAAAGCUAAUUUAUGUAGAGAGAGGUAAAGCUGUCUCAUCCAUGGAUAACCCGAAGAAGGACUAUGGGAGGGAAAGAAAAUGUGGGCUCUGGCCCUCAUCACGUGGAGUGUACUCUGGUCAGUCACCUAUGUGACAGGGAGCAGACUGGGACAAUAUACCACCACGCAGAGAGCCACAGUUGGGACACCCUCACCAGGCUUCCUCCUGUCACUCGCCAUGCUCCCAAGGGAGGCUGCUGUGCAUCACGAUGACAAGAAACCUGACAGUAGCAACUCAGAGGAGGGGAGGUGGAUUUGGGCUCGUGGCUCCAGUCCACGGUCAGCUGGGUCUGUUGUUUCAAACUUGCAGGGAGGGAGAAGCAUGAAGGUAGAGGGCUUCCUAUAAGGAGAAAGGUAAGAAGCCGGAGAGGAAGGGGCUUGUAUGGCACGUGGUUCUCAGCACAAUGCCCGUGAUAAGCUUCGUCCAGUUGGGCACCACCUCCCCAUAGGCCCGUGGGGCUCUGAACUCUCCCGUGGAGUAGUCCUUGAGGAAGUUGGAGUCCUUGUUGUCCAGCCACUUAUUCCACAUGUGACCUCUGAACACAGCUGCCCUGGGGAAGAAGCCCUUGGGACACUAGUCGGGAGCCCACCACAUCCAGACCAUGGCGGGAGUCUUCUGUCUUCCCCAUGUGACUUCCCCGCGGAUCCGACAGCUGUCGAUGUGAACUGGCAGAUGCGCCUUGGUGUUUGCACAGUUCCUGAUUUUCUCUUCUCGAACUCUGGAGGAAGGUGUGUGUCACGUACAGACAAAGAUCAGCCCACAUAUUCUUCUGGCAUUUGGACUCCAAGUUUGAAAACAAGAAAUCAAUAAAUGCUUAAUGGGACUCGGACU
rnacentral:lncRNA from 1 species